rnacentral:rRNA from 1 species
GACGAACGCUGGCGGCGCGCCUAACACAUGCAAGUCGAACGAGCGAGAGAGAGCUUGCUUUCUCAAGCGAGUGGCGAACGGGUGAGUAACGCGUGAGGAACCUGCCUCAAAGAGGGGGACAACAGUUGGAAACGACUGCUAAUACCGCAUAAGCCCACGACCCGGCAUCGGGUAGAGGAAAAGGAGCAAUCCGCUUUGAGAUGGCCUCGCGUCCGAUUAGCUAGUUGGUGAGGUAAUGGCCCACCAAGGCGACGAUCGGUAGCCGGACUGAGAGGUUGAACGGCCACAUUGGGACUGAGACACGGCCCAGACUCCUACGGGAGGCAGCAGUGGGGAAUAUUGCACAAUGGGGGAAACCCUGAUGCAGCGACGCCGCGUGGAGGAAGAAGGUCUUCGGAUUGUAAACUCCUGU